rnacentral:rRNA from 1 species
UACGUAGGGGCCGAGCGUUGUCCGGAGUUAUUGGGCGUAAAGCGCGCGCAGGCGGCCUCGCGCGCCCGACGUGAAAGCCCCCGGCUUAACCGGGGAGGGUCGUUGGGGACGGCGGGGCUUGAGGGCGGGAGAGGUCGGUGGAAUUCCCGGUGUAGUGGUGAAAUGCGUAGAGAUCGGGAGGAACACCGGUGGCGAAGGCGGCGACCUGGGUAGAUACUGACGCUGAGGCGCGAAAGCGUGGGGAGCAAACAGG